rnacentral:rRNA from 1 species
UACAGAGGUCUCGAGCGUUAGGCGGAAUCACUGGGCUUAAAGCGUGUGUAGGUGGAUCGUUAAGUACCUUGUGAAAUCCCACGGCUUAACCGUGGAACUGCUUGGUAUACUGGCGGUCUUGAGCCACGUCAUGGAGGCUACCGGAACAAAUGGUGGAGCGGUGAAAUGCGUAGAUAUCAUUUGGAACGCCAAUGGUGAAAACAGGUAGCUGGGGACGUGUGCUGACACUGAGACACGAAAGCCAGGGGAGCAAACGGG